rnacentral:lncRNA from 1 species
ACCUGCCGCAAUAAAUGAUGCCCUGGAGAGCCUCUGGACCACCUUGAUGGGGUUGAGGUGGCAGGGAGAAUAUGACUUUGGGAUGACACAGGGGAUGUUGACAAAGACGAAGGUGAAGGCAAAGUUGGUGAAGGUGAAGGCAAAGCGGGUGAGAGUUUAGCAGGAGACGGAUCUGAAACUCCUGGGGAUCCAGUUGAUUCCUUCACCUAGAACAUGAUUAUAAACACAGAAGUAUAUCAUAUUAAGGAAAAGAAAAUAUUAAAUCCAGAAUCAUAAACCACAACAAAAGGGUCUUUUACAAUAACAAGCUCCAGAUGUUCCACACUCACUUCCACAGAGAUAUUCCUUGAGAUAGAUUGAUCUGCCAGACAUGUAGAGAGGUAUCAGAUACAACAGAACAUGGUACACUGAAAACAUAGUACAGGUUAAGAAGCCAAUAAGGGGUGUAAAGAGCAGAAAGUUCUUCCUAGCCAACCUUUUCAAAUAGUGACUAGUGAAUUGCUUCUUAAAAUAAAGGUAAAAAUAAAUAUGAGAUGAGUAGAAAAUGAAAAUUCUGUCAAUGAUAUGAUGACCCCAAAAAUGCGUAUCAGACCAAUGCUCAACCACAUGAUGCUAUUUUAAAACAUUAGAAAAAACACGGUAAUACAUCAGUAAUGAAAGAACAAAAGCAGAAAUUAAAGUGUGAAAUCUGCGACUUGUAACAUAAACCAGGAAACCAUAUAUCUACCAAUAAACAAACUCUUUAUAAAUGUGAAGAGCUUCUACACAAGCCCUAGCCCUUUCUUCAGCAGCAUCGAAAUAUAUUAUCUAUCAUCUAUGAGGAUCAGAAAUUAGCUUGAAACCUACAAACCAUGCAAUUGUAAAACUCCAAUUUCUGUGCAUCCAGCAUGAAAAUUGAGAAUGACAUGUACAUUUUAGAGAUCAUAAAAUGUCACGUUGAAAUGUCAUCUCGCUUUGAACACUUGCUAAUGAAGAAAAUAAAAGCAGAAGGACAUAUGAUGAGUAAUUUGCCAGUUUCAUGCAGUCACUUGCAGCCAAAACCAAAUGCUUCUCCAAAACUGGACUGGAAAGGAACAAUAUUUAUAACCAUGUUCUAAUUCCCAAAUGGAACCUAAAAAAGAACACGGUGAGAAUCAUCUGCUUCACAUCCUAGAAAAUUAAAAAUGGGAGAACCUAAAACUCAGAGAAAUAUAACCAUUUGCCAACAGAGGGUCCUUUUUAUUGCACAUAAAAUGAGGGACAUGAAACUCUUGAAGAGGCAUAAACUACUUCACCUUAUACACCAAAACUGCUUGAUUAUUAUCCUGACCAUUUUAAUGAUUAGCUGUACAAAUCCUUUUUCUAUCAUUUCACUUUACUAGGAUCACAUUUUCCAUUUGAUUGUAAGACUAUUAAACUCCUAUUCAUCUCCUUCUAAGCCAUCUUUCAUUCCUUGAGAACUUCUAACCUGUAUUUUCAUAGGUACAGCCACAGAUCUUUCAUGUGCAUGUUUUGGUCAUUUUGGUCAACAAUCCCCUACCAUAUCUUCUAUUAAGGUUACUCCCACAUGCCAACCACUGUCACAUGUAACUUUUAAAUAGCUCUCUUAAAUUCAUCAUUGCUAAAGGUUCUUCAAAACAUGCUACGCUAAACAAAGGUGCAGGACAAGUACACAAGAGCCUAAUUCACUAAUCACAAUAAAAAAAUUAUAAAAACAAACAAACAAACAAAAACACACACACAUCCAUAAUAGAACAUUAGCGUGUCCACCAAAUCCAAGCAAACUAGACCAUGAAAUUAAAUUUUCAAUAACAGCUCUCUCUAUAACAAAUAUUAAAAGGCUAAUGCUAAUCAGAUGGCCAUUGCAAGGCAAGGAAGAACCAUGGCAUUUUUAUCCCAAGUCCACGGAGAAAAAAGACACUUCUAAGAAACUCAACUGACCCCAUCAUAGCAUACUAAACAAAAACAAAGGAGCUAGAUUCUGAAGGUUCACCUGAAGCAGGAGUCGUCAAAUUCCCAGCAGUUCCUUCAGAAACCGGUGACUUCUGCCAUGUAAGCGUUUGAAAGUUUUCUAAUGGACUUCCCCCAUCUGAUGCAUAAGUUGUUUCGGAUUUGUUUUCCAAUCCUCCGUUCCUGUUCAGGCCAUCAGCAAACCAACUAGCAGAAGUAUCAACUUCACCUGCUACACGCCCUCGGUUGUCCCAUCGGAAGCUCCAUGAUGGUGAAUAUCGAACAUUUCUAUGCUGCAUAACUUCACAGCUUGGUCCAUUUGUUAUUGUUCUAUCUCUAG